UAGGGAAUCUUCCACAAUGGACGCAAGUCUGAUGGAGCAACGCCGCGUGAGUGAAGAAGGUUUUCGGAUCGUAAAGCUCUGUUGUUGGUGAAGAAGGAUAGAGGCAGUAACUGGUCUUUAUUUGACGGUAAUCAACCAGAAAGUCACGGCUAACUACGUGCCAGCAGCCGCGGUAAUACGUAGGUGGCAAGCGUUGUCCGGAUUUAUUGGGCGUAAAGCGAGCGCAGGCGGAAUGAUAAGUCUGAUGUGAGAGCCCACGGCUCAACCGUGGAACCGCAUCGGAAACUGUCAUUCUUGAGUGCAGAAGAGGAGAGUGGAACUCCAUGUGUAGCGGUGGAAUGCGUAGAUAUAUGGAAGAACACCAGUGGCGAAGGCGGCUCUCUGGUCUGCAACUGACGCUGAGGCUCGAAAGCAUGGGUAGCGAACAGGAUUAGAUACCCUGGUAGUCCAUGCCGUAAACGAUGAGCGCUAGGUGUUGGGGACUUUCCGGUCCUCAGUGCCGCAGCAAACGCAUUAAGCGCUCCGCCUGGGGAGUACGACCGCAAGGUUGAAAC
rnacentral:rRNA from 1 species